CAGAUAAAGGAGCCGGCAUCAGGCACAGAUUUCUAGCCCAUAACGCCUAGUCCUGUCACACCCUCAAGGGUCCUCAGCAGUGAUAAAUAUUGUCCAUAAGCGCUAGCUUGACCCAGUUAAAGAAAUUAAGGGCCGGCCAACCCGGUGCCAGCCGCCGCGGCUAUACCAAGGGGCUCAAGUUGAUAACCUUCGGCGUUAAGCGUGAUUAAAGAACAACUAAAAUAGAGUUAAAUUUAAACCCAGCUGUUAUAAGCUUGCUAUUUAGAAAAACAUAAACGAAAGUUACUCUAACUUAACUUGAACCCACGACAGCUAGGGUACAAACUGGGAUUGGAUACCCCACUAUGCCUCGCCGUAAAAUAUUUACUUACAUAACCAACGCCCGGGUAUUACGAGCUUAAGCUUAAAACCCAAGGGACUUGACGGUGUCCCAUCCAUCUAGAGGAGCCUGUUCUAUAAUCGACACCCCCCGCUAUACCUCACCAUUUUUAGCCUCUCAGUCUGUAUACCUCCGUCGCAAGCUUACCAUGUGAACGUAUUUAGUAAGCCUAAUGGUUACUUCACCAACACGUCAGGUCAAGGUGCAACCUAUAAAAUGGGAAGUAAUGGGCUACAAUUUCUAACUUAGAACAAACGAAAAAA
rnacentral:rRNA from 1 species